rnacentral:rRNA from 1 species
CCUACGGGUGGCAGCAGUGGGGAAUAUUGGGCAAUGGGCGCAAGCCUGACCCAGCAACGCCGCGUGAAGGAAGAAGGCUUUCGGGUUGUAAAGUUCUUUUCGCAGGGACGAAGAUAGCGACGGUACCGGAGGAAGAAGCCACGGCUAACUCAGUGGCAGCAGCCGCGGUAAUAGGUAGGGGGCAAGCGUUAUCCGGAUUUACUGGGUGUAAGGGGCGUGUAGGCGGGAACGCAAGUCAGAUGUGAAAACCAUGGGCUCAACCUGUGGACUGCAUUGGAAACUGGUUUUCUUGAGUACUGGAGAGGCAGACGGAAUUCCUCGUGUAGCGGUGAAAUGCGUAGAUAUGAGGAGGAACACCAGUGGCGAAGGCGGUCUGCUGGACAGCAACUGACGCUGAGGCGCGAAAGCGUGGGGAGCAAACAGGAUUAGAUACCCGUGUAGUC